UCCCUGGUGUCUCAGAUGGUAAAGAAUCUGCCUGCAAUUCAGGAGACCCAGGUUCGAUCCCUGGGUUGGGAA
rnacentral:tRNA from 1 species